GGCAGUCCGUCAGAAAAUUGAGUACUGUAGUGAAAUACGAUCGCGGCAGCGCUGGUUGGUGUGGACGGCCGUCGGCCUCUGACGUGGUGAGCCGUGGACCAGAAUCCGUGUUCCCGUCUGAUCCGUGGAUCAGAAUCUGUGCACAAAACGAAUUGAAGGCAAGACCGGGUUAUUUGGAAGCUGAAGCUUCGGGUCAAAGGCAACUAGCGAUGCCGGCGAGCGGCCAUGAAGUUCCUGAUGCAGCAAAUCAGUAGAUCCAGUCUGCUUGAGGAGGUGGGGAAGAGCUUGGUGCCGGCUCAUGUGGUUGUCAAUGACUCUGUCGUGGUGGAUCUGCAAGUGGCACCGCAGGGAGGCGGCACAACAUGUCAACAUCAGAUGGUGGACAGCAGCUAAGCACAAACCUUCUUGGCACAGGAGGGGGCGGCGAACAGAAGGGAGAGCUCACCAGCAAUGUCGGAGCUGUCGACGGGGAAGAGGAAUCCCCAAGCACCGGGGUGGAACAAAGGCUAAGGAUUAAUGCUGCCGCCCCAGCAGAACACCGUGCCCACCUUGUGUGAGUGCGUUUGAGAAGGCAUUCAGGCGUAUGACUUCUACAACUUGUAUUCGUGAGAGAAGGGUUUUGGCAUCCGGUAUGGCAAGAGAUGGCUAAAUGUCGAGAGGACAGAGUGCAUGCAGGAGAUAGUUGGUGGGUGCUCGGGUAAAGCUGGGGUCGAGAAAACAAGGACGAGCAGAGGACAACGGGUGGUACACUGGAGAGCAUAGAGACAAUCAGAAAUCUCAACAGGGGAAAUGAACCCUCAAGCGCGAGGAUUGUCUAAGGGGUUCGUUCUGAUUUCGCAGGGAACAAUUCUCGCGUUGGUGUGUGCGGUCUUGCUUGUUUAUUUAUUAAUUUGGAAUACUUAGUAAACAAUGUUUAUCAUACGGAUGCAAGAACGACUAGGACAAAUUGUGUAGUCAAUCCAUUUGGCAUGACAAAGGUGCUGCUGAGAUGUGUAUGCGUUAUUGGUUGGUAGAAAUUCAAAAAUAGUAAUGUUGGUACUUCUUUUUGCGCCAUGUUAGUAAAGCGUGACCGAUGUACAAGCAUUCAGAAGUUUGACAAUAACAUAUAUGAUAGUGUGCACUUACCUGCCGUCUGUGGAAUAAUGUUGCAUGAUAUGAAUCAUUUUAGUAUAGUUCUUACUGCUUUUGCGGCAUUUUAGGAAAAUCUAAUCGAAUGUGCAAGUAGUUCAGAAUUUUGAUAAUAACGUGGAUGAUAGUCUGAACUCUUUUUGGAAGAGUUACAUUUUCAGGCUUAUGAUAGGAGCUGGCGGCACCCAGUAAGGCCCCUUGCCCGUCUUGCUAGAGUGCUUUCAAGAAAGCAGUGAGGGCUUUUGCUGAGAACCGCUCAGGCAAUGUCAUUGUCCUGAAACCGGGUAUAAGUUUUGACUCGCUUGGAGAGGCGUACGACUUCUGCAACAUGUACUCUUGGGAGAAAGGAUUUGGAACAAUCGGUGACUCCAUUCUUCUUAACCAAGUUCAGUCAUUGAUUUGUCUUCAGUCUAAGGCACCUCGGUAUGCACAUGACGCGGCAGAGCCCAAGAACAUAUCAUUUGGCAAAGGCCACUGGAACAAUACAUACUACGUCUUAGCAACUACUAACAUGAAGUUGCGCUCAGGCUCUGUCGUAGGCUAAAGAGUUGAGGAUGGGCCUGUUAUACUGCAACAAAGAAGCCAAUUGUACAAAAUCUUGCAUACUCGGUCUGCAACUUGCAUCAGUUUUGGUCUAGCCUUGGUUCUUCUGAUCAUGGUGCCUUCCUCGAGGGUUUUGAAUUGCUUGGUUCAACAAAAAAAAGCAAGGAACACAUUCUCCUCUGUGCCUCUUUAGACAAAAAGUUUCUACGCAAAUUGAUGAUAUGCAUGUAAGCAUGGCAUUACCUAAGUCAUUAAUCCAUUGUCAGUUGCAAAUAUUGUUCCUGAUCGCAGACGAUAUUUAAUACUUAUUGUGUUUUUUCUUUGUUUGCUGAUCAAUAUCAUAUUCAGUUGUUUCAGUAUGAUUUCAUUAAAACUAAAAACUGAAGUACUCAACCUACGAUGCUCACAUGUUGGUUCCAUUGUACAAAGCUACGGAAAGAUUUGUUGGGGAAGUGCCUAGGCUGAAGAUGGUUGCUAUAUUGGUGCUCGUGGCAUUGGUGUGAACCGAGCAUCCUUGUUCGGAGAGUUAAUUACAGAUAUACGGCAGUUUGUGGUUUGCAGAUACUUACCAUGUUGUACCCUCUCAGGAAUUAGUCAAGAUUUCUAUGCUUUUAGACUGAAAUUCACCUUGUAUAUUGUAGUGUGUGAGGGUUAGGUGGAAGGAUUGAUUGCGAGCUGGAGGAAGUACUGGCCAAAUAACAGGAGCACAACAAGGACGAUCAGUGUUGGCAGUAGAUUGGUGCCCGCAAGCAGCAACGCAAUCCGCUGGGUGUCCAAGCAACAUGCUACAGAUGCACAAGGAGGAGCAUGGAGCUGAGUAUGGAGAGGUGGAUUUGUG